CCUACGGGUGGCAGCAGUGGGGGAUAUUGCACAAUGGGGGAAACCCUGAUGCAGCGACGCCGCGUGUGGGAAGACGGUCCUCUGGAUUGUAAACCACUGUCCCCAGGGACGAAGCUGACGGUACCUGGGGAGGAAGCUCCGGCUAACUACGUGCCAGCAGCCGCGGUAAUACGUAGGGAGCGAGCGUUGUCCGGAAUUACUGGGUGAAAAGGGAGCGUAGGCGGGACUGCAAGUUGGGUGUCAAAUCUACCGGCUCAACCGGUAGCCGCACUCAAAACUGCAGUUCUUGAGUGAAGUAGAGGCAGGCGGAAUUCCUAGUGUAGCGGUGAAAUGCGUAGAUAUUAGGAGGAACACCAGUGGCGAAGGCGGCUUGCUGGACGAUGACUGACGUUGAGACUCGAAAGCGUGGGGAGCAAACAGGAUUAGAUACCCCUGUAGUC
rnacentral:rRNA from 1 species